AUUGAACGCUGGCGGCAUGCCUUACACAUGCAAGUCGAACGGCAGCACGGGUGCUUGCACCUGGUGGCGAGUGGCGAACGGGUGAGUAAUACAUCGGAACAUGUCCUGUAGUGGGGGAUAGCCCGGCGAAAGCCGGAUUAAUACCGCAUACGAUCUACGGAUGAAAGCGGGGGACCUUCGGGCCUCGCGCUAUAGGGUUGGCCGAUGGCUGAUUAGCUAGUUGGUGGGGUAAAGGCCUACCAAGGCGACGAUCAGUAGCUGGUCUGAGAGGACGACCAGCCACACUGGGACUGAGACACGGCCCAGACUCCUACGGGAGGCAGCAGUGGGGAAUUUUGGACAAAGGGCGAAAGCCUGAUCCAGCAAUGCCGCGUGUGUGAAGAAGGCCUUCGGGUUGUAAAGCACUUUUGUCCGGAAAGAAAUACUUGGCCCUAAUACGGUCGGGGGAUGACGGUACCGGAAGAAUAAGCACCGGCUAACUACGUG
rnacentral:rRNA from 1 species